rnacentral:rRNA from 1 species
CCUACGGGUGGCUGCAGUGGGGAAUUUUGGACAAUGGGGGCAACCCUGAUCCAGCCAUGCCGCGUGAGUGAAGAAGGCCUUCGGGUUGUAAAGCUCUUUCGGCCGGGAAGAAAUCGCUCAAGCUAAUACCUUGGGUGGAUGACGGUACCGGAAGAAGAAGCACCGGCUAACUACGUGCCAGCGGCCGCGGUAAUACGUAGGGGGCGUGCGUUGAUCGGAAUUUGCGGGCGUGAAGCGUGAAGAGGCGUGGGAAAUCCCCGGGCUUAACCUGGGAACUGCGUUUGUGACUGUGGUGCUCGAGUGCGGCAGAGGGGGGUGGAAUUCCACGUGUAGCAGUGAAAUGCGUAGAGAUGUGGAGGAACACCGAUGGCGAAGGCAGCCCCCUGGGUCGACACUGACGCUCAUGCACGAAAGCGUGGGGAGCAAACAGGAUUAGAUACCCGAGUAGUC